CUGUGGCAAUAAUUUUACCAUGCGACACAGACAGAGAAGUAUCAUUCCUGGAAGUGUGCAUCAUUGAAGAGAUAUGUGAAAAACACCUUGAGGAUUGGUUCUAAACAACGUUUGCCAUGUUUCAGUCGAUAUUAUGGAGUUAAUUUGGAAAAAGUUUGGCGUUUGGAUAACUGAAUUUUAGUUUUUUUUUGGUAGCCAAACGUGACGCACCAAACGGACCGAUUUCUCCUGCACAAAAUCUUUCAGGAAAAACUGAACAUUACUAUCUAACUGAGAGUCUCCUCAUUGAAAACAUCUGAAGUUCUUCAAAGGACCUGAGCCCUAGGAACAUGCCUCGGGACUACCUGUCCUGAUGACUCCUUGCUGUCCCCAGUCCAGCUGGUUUCAACUGUUCUGUUCUUUGGAACCCUGACCUGUUCACCGGACGUGCUACCUGUCCCAGACCUGCCGUUUAAAACUCUCUAGAGACAGCAGGUGUGGUAGAGAUAGUCUGAAUGAUUGGCGAUGAAAAUCCAACUGACAUCUACUCCUGAGGUGUUGACCUGAUGCACCCUCUAUAACCACUGUGAUUAUUAUUAUUUGACCCUGCUGGUCAUCUAUGAACAUACUGGCCAUGUUCUGUUAUAAUCUCCAUCCGGCACAGCCAGAAGAGGACUGGCCACCCCUCAUAGCCUGGUUCCUCGCUAGGUUUCUUCCAAGGUUUUGGCCUUUCUAUUGAGUUCUUCCUAGUCACCAUGCAUCUACACCUGCAUUGCUUGCUGUUUGGGGUUUUAGUCUGGGUUUCUAUACAGCACUGUGUGACAUCAGCUGAUGUAAGAAGAGCUUUAUAAUGAAAUUGUAUUGAAUGAUUGAUAAAAAUAAAACAAAUCUGUCACACCCUGA